ensembl:ncRNA asRNA:CR44995 antisense RNA:CR44995
AAAGUCGAUUUUCGCAUAGGUAUUCCCAUCCUCCGGGCAUGCGGACACCGGCGGCGAUUCGCGUGAUCCUCUCUUCAGGUAUUUAGCUGGAUUUUGGCCACUGCAAUGGGGAAGAUCUAGGCUGGCGUAGUGCAGCUCCGGCUGGGAUAUGCGAGACGACGACCUUGAGGGGAAAUUCAAAUCUUUAAUCUGUAGAAUGUUCUGUGGUGUACUUGGAUCUGUGCCAGUGCUACGCGAAUCGGCGGCGGCGGCUGGCUUUGCUGAAUUUAUAUUGAAUUUGGAACUUCUUUUCGGUAUCGUAGUACUCCAGCCGGGCUGCCGAAGUGCUCGUCUCCUCGUACAGCACAAAGAACUUCUUCUUCAUGGUCUUCAGCUUCUUG